UGGGGAAUAUUGGACAAUGGGCGCAAGCCUGAUCCAGCCAUGCCGCGUGAGUGAUGAAGGCCUUAGGGUUGUAAAGCUCUUUUAGCAGGGACGAUAAUGACGGUACCUGCAGAAAAAGCCCCGGCCAACUUCGUGCCAGCAGCCGCGGUAAUACGAAGGGGGCUAGCGUUGCUCGGAAUCACUGGGCGUAAAGCGCACGUAGGUGGGUCGUUAAGUCGGGGGUGAAAUCCCAGAGCUCAACUCUGGAACUGCCUUCGAUACUGGCGACCUUCGAGUUCGGGAGAGGUGAGUGGAACUGCGAGUGUAGAGGUGAAAUUCGUAGAUAUUCGCAAGAACACCAGUGGCGAAGGCGGCUCACUGGCCCGAUACUGACACUGAGGUGCGAAAGCGUGGGGAGCAAAC
rnacentral:rRNA from 1 species